GUUAAGGUCAAUGGGAAACUACAACAAUCCAGGCAGGACUAAAAAUGGCCCAGACUCUUCAGGAAUGAAGAUUUGGGACACUCCAUCAGACCACUCUGGCCCGCCACACCCUUAUCCUGUGCCUAUAUAAACCCUAAACUCCAUGAGCAGAGGAACAGAAGAGCAUAAGAGUGGCAGAGUGGCAGAGCGGCACAGCGGCGUGGCAGAGAGGGAGCAUCUGAAUGUCAAGAGGAGUUCAGCUGGGGAUGGUCAGAGAGAUCAGCUGCGGGAUGGCCAAACUCCAGGAAUCGCUUAAUCCUGAAGGUCUUGUGAGAAGACAUGGCGAGAAGUGGAGUCAAGAACACACCACGGUGGCAGAGAAAGGAAAAGAGCAGGAUAAAUAGCUUUGUAAACCUACUACACAGAGAAGGUUGCCUUGAUGAUUCUCAUCAAAGCUAUUAGAAAAUUUAUUUUAAACAUAAAAAUUGUCAGAAGAUACUGUUCCACACACUGCAGGUCUAAUAGUCACUACCCAAAUGUAAGAUAAUUAAAAGGAAUGAUUUGUUGCAUUCUAUUUAACAAUAUAAGUUACCAGUGAGAACUAGUGACAAGAUGAUAGCCUCGCCAUGUCCAGAUUCAAACUCCUGGCAUAUCUGCCACUCACAGGAAAUGCAACUUUACUCCUGUUGCUUUUACUUCUGCUAAUGAGACCAUUAUCCUCCUAGAUAUCUGACUUUUCAACCUCAAAAGUGUGUUUAAAUUCCUCUCUCUUUUUUCCCUUCAAAAUCUCAUUAGUCAUGAUGAGUUGUAGACUUACUACUUCUAAAAUAUCUCUGAUAUUUUAGAUAUCUCUGAUAUCCCUUCUGUUUUAUUCUCACUGCCACUUCAUUCGUUUAAAUCCUAUUACCUUAUCUGGACUAUUCCUGUAACUUCUAAAUUGGCCUAUUUGCUUCCAGGCUGUCUCUGCCCAAGCCAAACCACAUACCGUUGCCAUAGGAACCUUCCUAAGGAACAGCUCUAAUCACUUUAUUCUCUGAUCAAACGCUUUCAGUGGGCUCUGCUUUGCCUACAGGAUAGCUCAGCAUAACAUACCAGAUUAUCCAAAAAUUGUUUUCAAACUCUUCCACUAAACCUUCCUAUUCACCAUCACCUGUCAUCACCUGGAACUUGCCAUUGGUCUAACAAUCAUAGCCAGCAUCUUGAGAUUUUUUGUUUUCCAUGACGCAUAUCCAUAGGUAACAAUAAUGAUUCCCUCUUAAAUUGCCAUAGGAUUUGCUUCUGAAUAUUGCUGCACUUUAUGUGUUCUAGCUUGCAUUACAAACACACACACACACAUACACAUAUAAUAUAGCAUAUAUGCAUACACACACACACAUAUAUAUAUUUAUGUAAAUUUCUGUUAUGUUCUUCAUCAUUAGCUUUCAAAGUUUUGUUCAAGGGAACCCUAGGAUCUAGUCAGAUGCAAGAAGGAUUACUAUAAGAGCACACAGAGGCCUGGAGAGGACCGAUGAUAGCAUGGCUCUUAACCUCCCAUAAUCUCCCUCCACCAAAAUAGCUCUUAUUUUAUUAUUAUUAUUAUUUUUAAAUAAAGUAUCAUCUGGAAUUCAAUUUUAUUUUUAAUGGCUUUUUAAAAUUUGUGGAUGUUGUCUUCCAAGUUUAAGAGGUUUCCUACACGCACCUUCUAGAUACCCAUACUGACUAGAGAUCCGAAACAGAAUAUCUCAGGAUACUCCAAAAUCGAAUUUCACCAUGAAAGAACUAUCUUCCCCAAUAUCUUCAGAUCAAGCAUCCAAGUAGACAUGGUGGCCUCUUCCCAAGACUUUUUGAUCAUGGCACCCAUACUACAAGCCUCUGAUUAUGACAGCCAUUUUUGUCUUUUUCUCUUCUUUACAUUGUCAUCUCUUCCCCUCUCUCUUCCUCUAAAAUUUUCCAUUGCUAAAAUGAUGUUUUAAAGUUUCUUCUCCCAAUCUCUGUUCUCUAAGCAGAUCAAGACAGUGAACACAACUCUAUGGAUUUCAAGCCAGCCUUAUCAAUAAACUCCAGAAGGGAUAGGAUUUAUUCUCCUAGAUGAUCCCAGAUGGGGCAGGAUUUUGUCUAAGAAGCAUCAUUCCAAAUCUUCUGAUAAUUCUUAUGUUAAUGAAACUGCCUUCGCAAAAUUAUGACUGAGACAGUGAAAGAGAUUUAACUUGAUCGACACUAUCUUGCUUCUAACUUACAAGCUGUUCUUGUUUAUUCCUCUGCGUAGGCUGAACUAACUUUGGGAGAAACUCAGUUUAUAGUUUAAAGUUUAAAACAAAGAUGAUAACAGCCCUUUCCCAAAGCAGGCCUUUUUCUUGCCUGGGGACUAGGUUGCCUUUGCAGGACUAAUAUUAGCCAAAAGAUUAGAAAUUAUGGUUUAGGAGUCAUGCAGCUGGAGGCUACAAGAUUCUGACCCUCUCUAAACUACUCCUAAGGUGAGUGCUUGAGAUAGUUUGAAGAUCCUGCACUUGAUGGAUCAGCUGGCACCACCCAGUUGGAUUAACUGGCUCGUCUGAUCUUGCGGCCCCUACCCAGGAACUGACUCAGCACAAGAAGACAGCUUUGACUCUCUAUGAUUUUGUCUCUGACCAAUCAGUGCUCCUGGCUCACUGGCCUCCCCCAACCCAUCAAGUUGUCCUUGAAAACUUUGUUCCCCAAAUGCUUGGGGAGACUGAUUUGAGUAAUAAUAAAACUCUGUUCUCCUGCACAGCCAGAUCUAUGUGAAUUACUCUUUCUCUACUGCAAUUCCCCUGUCUUGAGAAAUUGGCUCUGUCUAGGCAGCAGGCAAGAUGAACCCACUGGGUGGUUACAUUAACUCUUGUUUUUUCCAUAGUUGACUGUACUUUCUCUGGAUUCAUAAAUGCUUCAGAACAACUACUAACUCAACAAAUGAUUGAAGUUUAACUACAAAGACAAAAGUCACAAGAAGUCCUGAUGGAAGUGCUCAGAAAAC
rnacentral:lncRNA from 1 species